CGCCACGCCAUCAAUGCACCUUGGGGCUUUUUGUGACAGCUAUCAUCCUAAAUGAAAAAAAAAAACUUCGAGACUUCUGUUUUCCCUUCCCUUGGAUUUUCUGAUUUGGCCUUUUGUUUCUUUCACAUGGGCUUCUAUGCUCACUACGUUUUUUAUAAUACUUUCUUGAGCUUUUAUGUGUGUGAUUAUUUUCAGGUCCAAAUAUUUGUCUGAUUUUGCAGAAAGUAGAAGCUCCAUUUAGAUUUCAUUGUCGUCGUUGUCCACGUGAAGCCGCCUCCAAUGAAGAUCCUGAAACCUCUUGGUUUCCAUUAAUUUGGUUCUUCAAUCCGAACAUUAACAUGCUUCAUCCCACUUGCGCCACUACGCUGCAUUUAAUAAAAGCUCAGACUCUUGGUAUGUAACCGGCCAAACGUCUUCUAUAAAUUGGCAUCCUUGCAUCCUUGCAAACGAAUAGAGUCGCCGUAUCAUCCGCCUCCACUCGCCCAGAUCAAUUCACAGGAUUUGCGACGGUCUCCAUCUCCAACGCCGGCGAGAAGACCCUAAGACGACAUAAACCUAAAGCUUCACAACUACAACCUCAUAUCUCCACCCCAAUACGCCAAACCGAACGAGUCAAAGCUUCAAGUCACCAUAGAUUACGGCGACUGAUCUCGACUAGAGGAGUUACCAUCCUCUGCUGGCGCUCUCGUCACGAACCAAACCAAAGCGAUGCCAAAAGAGACGCCUAGGACUAAUCAUUGUUCCUCCUCACCGUACCUGAGUGAAGAUAACAACGGGGAGAGCUCCGACACCACAACUCAGACGAGAUCCAGAAAAAUAGUUUGUUUAGGAAAUCGAUUCUGCACAGCUGGAGGAAAAGAGGAGUUUGAUAGGGCGAGUCUUCUUAUUAUUUCCAGGUGGUGGGACAGAUCAGUCAGUGUCUUCAUCAAAGGUGAUUCACGCACUGAAAAUGGAACCCCUCAACGUUUCUGAUCUUAACCAAUUUAUUAUCACUGGUGCCCUCAGAUCACUGAGUUUCUCUUUAUGGUGAAGGAGCCAUGAGCACGGUUAACAGCAGCACAUGCAUGAGUGAGAGAUUCUAAUAUACAUAUAUGUUCUUGUCAACAUACUUCAGUUUCUGAAGUUAGCCAGCUUAGCAGAUUGCUCCGAAGGUUCUGGAGACGACUAUUGAUGAUGAUGAGCUGGAUGAUCUCAUAGAUCAGUUUGAUGUCAUUGACAUUGACAAGAAGGAUUUCAUUAGCCUUGUGGAGAUGAGGCAGGCUCUUGCGGAAGAUCCUUCUGGAAGCUCAAUGAUACAAGAUUAGCUGCGAUUCUUCAAGCAGUAAUCAACUGGAGGAGCAUGACUCUGACCAGUGGGAGCAGAGGUCAAGAGCAGCUUUCGAGAAUUUUUACAUGGCUAAAGAUGGGUUUAUAACACCUGAGGAACCAAAACUGAAUCACUUCUUGCAGAAGCUGACGUUGAUGAAGAUCGGAGAAUCAGCAUCCAUGAGUUUCGCAGACUCUUGAGAUCUGCAAUCGUCAAGUCAAAAACUAUCAAAAACCAUCCUGGUUACCAGCUUUCUUGAAAAAUGUAAAACACUUUCGCAAAUAGAUAUGAAGAUUAGAUUUUAUACUAUGAAGAUUAGAUUUUAUACUCAAACAAAAAAAAACAUUUUUUACAAUCGCCAUAUGAUUCAAGAAUAUCUUAUACAGGCUACAUGUGAUUUUUGUAUUUGAUACCAGAGAACACGCAUAUGGUCGGAAGGUUUGGGAUUGUUUUCCCGACUUGAGCAGAUAAUUUUGUAUUUUUAUUUGCU